rnacentral:misc_RNA from 1 species
AAGUCGUAACAAGGUUUCCGUAGGUGAACCUGCGGAAGGAUCAUUACUGAGUAAAUUGGGUCUCUAUGGCCCAUACUUCCCACCCUUUUGUAUACCUUACCAAUUAUUAAGUUGCCUUGGUAGGAAACCUACCUUCCCUUAGGGGAAAAGUAAGCCUACCAUUGGAACUCUCUUUAAACUCUUUUGAAUCGAGUCGUCUGAGAAUAAAUUCAAAUGAAUUAAAACUUUCAACAACGGAUCUCUUGGUUCUG